GGCGGACGUUGGCGAACGCUAACCCAAUCCUUUCACGGUGGAGAGAGCGGUUCGAUUCCGCUAGGGAGCGCCA
rnacentral:tRNA from 1 species